rnacentral:snoRNA from 1 species
UGAUCUUUUAGAGACAGGUGCAAAAAAUAAAUCCCCUUUCACAACCCAGAACUCUUUGUAUAGUAUGAGUUUUGAUACUUAUAAGAAGGAAUAUG